CCCGCUGAACUUAAGCAUAUCAAUAAGCGGAGGAAAAGAAACUAACAAGGAUUCCCCUAGUAACUGCGAGUGAAGCGGGAAAAGCUCAAAUUUAAAAUCUGGCGUGCCUCUGGUCGUCCGAGUUGUAGUCUGGAGAAGCGUUUUCCGUGUUGGACCGUGUACAAGUCUCUUGGAACAGGGCGUCAUAGAGGGUGAGAAUCCCGUCUUUGACACGGACUACCAAUGCUUUGUGAUGCGCUCUCAAAGAGUCGAGUUGUUUGGGAAUGCAGCUCAAAAUGGGUGGUAAAUUCCAUCUAAAGCUAAAUAUAGGCGAGAGACCGAUAGCGAACAAGUACCGUGAGGGAAAGAUGAAAAGAACUUUGGAAAGAGAGUUAAACAGUACGUGAAAUUGUUGAAAGGGAAACGCUUGAAGUCAGUCACGUUGGCUGGAGAUCAACCUUGCUUCUGCUUGGUGCAUUUUCCAGUUGAUGGGCCAGCAUCAAUUUUGAUCAGUGGAUAAAGGUCAGGGGAAUGUGGCAUCUCUGGAUGUGUUAUAGCCCUUGGUUGUAUACAUUGGUUGGGAUUGAGGAACUCAGCAUGCCGCAAGGCCAGGUUUUUUUUAAACCAUGUUCAUGCUUAGGAUGCUGGCAUAAUGGCUUUAAUCGACCCGUCUUGAAACACGG
rnacentral:rRNA from 1 species